rnacentral:rRNA from 1 species
AACAAACGCUGGCGGCGUGUCUUAAGCAUGCAAGUUGAGCGGCAAGGAGGAGAGAUCCUCCCUAGAGCGGCGGACUGGUGAGUAACGCGUGGGUAAUCUAUCGUAGGCAGUGGGGAUAGUCACUAGAAAUAGUGGGUAAUACCGAAUACGUUCCAUGAGGGGAGUAUUCAUGGAAGAAAGGGUGCUACGGCACUGGCCUUAGGUGAGCUCGCGUCCCAUUAGCUAGUUGGUGAAGGUAAAGGCCCACCAAGGCGAUGAUGGGUAGCCGGCCUGAGAGGGUGUACGGCCACACUGGGACUGAGAUACGGCCCAGACUCCUACGGGAGGCAGCAGCUAAGAAUAUUCCGCAAUGGACGAAAGUCUGACGGAGCGACGCCGCGUGGAUGAAGAAGGCCGAAAGGUUGUAAAGUUCUUUUGCUAGGGGAGAAUAAGUGAGGGAGGGAAUGCCCUCAUGAUGACAAGGACUAGCGAAUAAGCCCCGGCCAACUACGUG